CCUUUUUAAUUUUUUCUAGGGUAUGGCAUGACACAGCGGUACCCUUCAAGGAAGUUAUUCAAUAAUUUGAAGCUUGGCUGAUGCAACGUCAAUUAUGGAAAGGUGGGAGCCUUGUUGGUGCAGCAUUUGUAACUUGUGGAAAUUGGGAUUUGAAGACAAAGGUACCUCAGCAGUGUCAGGUGUCAAAACUAAAGCUUCCACCAUAUUUU